rnacentral:rRNA from 1 species
GGGUUGUGAGGUUAAGUGACUAAGCGUACACGGUGGAUGCCUAGGCAGUCAGAGGCGAUGAAGGGCGUGCUAAUCUGCGAAAAGCGUCGGUAAGGUGAUAUGAACCGUUACAACCGGCGAUACCCGAAUGGGGAAACCCAGUGUGUUUCGACACACUAUCAUGUCAUGAAUACAUAGUGGCAUGAGGCGAACCGGGGGAACUGAAACAUCUAAGUACCCCGAGGAAAAGAAAUCAACCGAGAUUCCCCCAGUAGCGGCGAGCGAACGGGGAGGAGCCCAGAACCUGAAUCGGCUUGUGUGUUAGUGGAAGCGUCUGGAAAGUCGCGCAGUAAAGGGUGAUAGCCCCGUACACUAAAAUGCACAGGUCGUGAGUUCGAUGAGUAGGGCGGGACACGUGACAUCCUGUCUGAAUAUGGGGGGACCAUCCUCCAAGGCUAAAUACUCCUGACUGACCGAUAGUGAACCAGUACCGUGAGGGAAAGGCGAAAAGAACCCCGGCGAGGGGAGUGAAAUAGAACCUGAAACCGUGUACGUACAAGCAGUGGGAGCACCUUCGUGGUGUGACUGCGUACCUUUUGUAUAAUGGGUCAGCGACUUAUAUUUUGUAGCAAGGUUAACCGUAUAGGGGAGCCGUAGGGAAACCGAGUCUUAACUGGGCGAAUAGUUGCAAGGUAUAGACCCGAAACCCGGUGAUCUAGCCAUGGGCAGGUUGAAGGUUGGGUAACACUAACUGGAGGACCGAACCGACUAAUGUUGAAAAAUUAGCGGAUGACUUGUGGCUGGGGGUGAAAGGCCAAUCAAACCGGGAGAUAGCUGGUUCUCCCCGAAAGCUAUUUAGGUAGCGCCUCGUGAACUCAUCUUCGGGGGUAGAGCACUGUUUCGGCUAGGGGGCCAUCCCGGCUUACCAAACCGAUGCAAACUCCGAAUACCGAAGAAUGUUAUCACGGGAGACACACGGCGGGUGCUAACGUCCGUCGUGAAGAGGGAAACAACCCAGACCGCCAGCUAAGGUCCCAAAGUCAUGGUUAAGUGGGAAACGAUGUGGGAAGGCAUAGACAGCCAGGAUGUUGGCUUAGAAGCAGCCAUCAUUUAAAGAAAGCGUAAUAGCUCACUGGUCGAGUCGGCCUGCGCGGAAGAUGUAACGGGGCUAAACCAUGCACCGAAGCUGCGGCAGCGACGCUUAGGCGUUGUUGGGUAGGGGAGCGUUCUGUAAGCCGUUGAAGGUGGCCUGUGAGGGUUGCUGGAGGUAUCAGAAGUGCGAAUGCUGACAUAAGUAACGAUAAAGCGGGUGAAAAGCCCGCUCGCCGGAAGACCAAGGGUUCCUGUCCAACGUUAAUCGGGGCAGGGUGAGUCGACCCCUAAGGCGAGGCUGAAAAGCGUAGUCGAUGGGAAACAGGUUAAUAUUCCUGUACUUGGUGUUACUGCGAAGGGGGGACGGAGAAGGCUAGGCUAGCCGGGCGACGGUUGUCCCGGUUUAAGCGUGUAGGGGGUGUGACCUGGUAAAUCCGGUUGCAUAUCAACCCUGAGGCGUGAUGACGAUGCACUACGGUGCAGAAGUAGUUGAUGCCCUGCUUCCAGGAAAAGCCUCUAAGCUCUAGGUAACAUUAAAUCGUACCCCAAACCGACACAGGUGGUCAGGUAGAGAAUACCAAGGCGCUUGAGAGAACUCGGGUGAAGGAACUAGGCAAAAUGGUGCCGUAACUUCGGGAGAAGGCACGCUGGCAUGUAGGUGAAGUCCCUUGCGGAUGGAGCUGAAGCCAGUCGAAGAUACCAGCUGGCUGCAACUGUUUAAUAAAAACACAGCACUGUGCAAACACGAAAGUGGACGUAUACGGUGUGACGCCUGCCCGGUGCUGGAAGGUUAAUUGAUGGGGUCAGCCGCAAGGCGAAGCUCUUGAUCGAAGCCCCAGUAAACGGCGGCCGUAACUAUAACGGUCCUAAGGUAGCGAAAUUCCUUGUCGGGUAAGUUCCGACCUGCACGAAUGGCGUAAUGAUGGCCAGGCUGUCUCCACCCGAGACUCAGUGAAAUUGAACUCGCUGUGAAGAUGCAGUGUACCCGCGGCAAGACGGAAAGACCCCGUGAACCUUUACUAUAGCUUGACACUGAACAUUGAGCCUUGAUGUGUAGGAUAGGUGGGAGGCUUUGAAGCGUGGACGCCAGUCUGCGUGGAGCCAUCCUUGAAAUACCACCCUUUAAUGUUUGAUGUUCUAACUCGGCCCCAUAAUCUGGGGUGAGGACAGUGUCUGGUGGGUAGUUUGACUGGGGCGGUCUCCUCCCAAAGAGUAACGGAGGAGCACGAAGGUUAGCUAAUCACGGUCGGACAUCGUGAGGUUAGUGCAAAGGCAUAAGCUAGCUUGACUGCGAGAGUGACGGCUCGAGCAGGUACGAAAGUAGGUCUUAGUGAUCCGGUGGUUCUGAAUGGAAGGGCCAUCGCUCAACGGAUAAAAGGUACUCCGGGGAUAACAGGCUGAUACCGCCCAAGAGUUCAUAUCGACGGCGGUGUUUGGCACCUCGAUGUCGGCUCAUCACAUCCUGGGGCUGAAGUAGGUCCCAAGGGUAUGGCUGUUCGCCAUUUAAAGUGGUACGCGAGCUGGGUUUAGAACGUCGUGAGACAGUUCGGUCCCUAUCUGCCGUGGGCGUUGGAAGAUUGAGAGGGGUUGCUCCUAGUACGAGAGGACCGGAGUGAACGCACCACUGGUGUUCGGGUUGUCAUGCCAAUGGCAUUGCCCGGUAGCUAAGUGCGGAAAAGAUAAGCGCUGAAAGCAUCUAAGCGCGAAACUUGCCUCAAGAUGAGUCUUCCCUGGGCCUUUAAGGUCCCUGAAGGAACGUUUAAGACUAAGACGUUGAUAGGCUGGGUGUGUAAGUGCAGCGAUGCAUUGAGCUAACCAGUACUAAUGAUCCGUGAGGCUUAACCUUACAACACCGAAGGUGUUU